ACGCGAUAGAACUCUAUGGUCAGCCUGUCCAUGCCCGGAGACUUAUUGGUAGGCAUGCAGCAGAGGGCUUCCGAGAACUCGGCCAGAGAGAGAGGCAGCUCUAGCCAGUCCCGGUUGCCCGCGCUGACCGUCAGGAGUCCAUCCCAGAGCACUCUGCGAGCGGUAGGAUAGGUCGGAUCCGGGGAGAAAAGGCCUCCACAGCAGGCCCUGGC